GACGAACGCUGGCGGCGCGCUUAACACAUGCAAGUCGAACGGAAAGGCCCUGCUUUUGUGGGGUGCUCGAGUGGCGAACGGGUGAGUAACACGUGAGUAACCUGCCCUUGACUUUGGGAUAACUUCAGGAAACUGGGGCUAAUACCGGAUAGGAGCUCCUGCUGCAUGGUGGGGGUUGGAAAGUUUCGGCGGUUGGGGAUGGACUCGCGGCUUAUCAGCUUGUUGGUGGGGUAGUGGCUUACCAAGGCUUUGACGGGUAGCCGGCCUGAGAGGGUGACCGGCCACAUUGGGACUGAGAUACGGCCCAGACUCCUACGGGAGGCAGCAGUGGGGAAUAUUGCACAAUGGGCGGAAGCCUGAUGCAGCAACGCCGCGUGCGGGAUGACGGCCUUCGGGUUGUAAACCGCUUUCGCCUGUGACGAAGCGUGAGUGACGGUAAUGGGUAAAGAAGCACCGGCUAACUACGUGCCAGCGGCCGCGGUGAUACGUAGGGGUGCGAGCGUUGUCCGGAUUUAUUGGGCGUAAAAGGGCUCGUAGGUGGUUGAUCGCGUCGGAAGUGUAAUCUUGGGGCUUAACCCUGAGCGUGCUUUCGAUACGGGUUGACUUGAGGAAGGUAGGGGAGAAUGGAAUUCCUGGUGGAGCGGUGGAAUGCGCAGAUAUCAGGAGGAACACCAGUGGCGAAGGCGGUUCUCUGGGCCUUUCCUGACGCUGAGGAGCGAAAGCGUGGGGAGCGAACAGGCUUAGAUACCCUGGUAGUCCACGCUGUAAACGGUGGGUACUAGGUGUGGGGUCCAUUCCACGGGUUCCGUGCCGUAGCUAACGCUUUAAGUACCCCGCCUGGGGAGUACGGCCGCAAGGCUAAAACUCAAAGGAAUUGACGGGGCCCCGCACAAGCGGCGGAGCAUGCGGAUUAAUUCGAUGCAACGCGUAGAACCUUACCUGGGUUUGACAUGGAUCGGGAGUGCUCAGAGAUGGGUGUGCCUCUUUUGGGGUCGGUUCACAGGUGGUGCAUGGCUGUCGUCAGCUCGUGUCGUGAGAUGUUGGGUUAAGUCCCGCAGCGAGCGCAACCCUUGUUCACUGUUGCCAGCACGUUAUGGUGGGGACUCAGUGGAGACCGCCGGGGUCAACUCGGGGGAGGGUGGGGAUGGCGUCAAGUCAUCAUGCCCCUUAUGUCCAGGGCUUCACGCAUGCUACAAUGGCUGGUACAGAGAGUGGCGAGCCUGUAAGGGUGAGCGAAUCUCGGAAAGCCGGUCUCAGUUCGGAUUGGGGUCUGCAACUCGACCUCAUGAAGUCGGAGUCGCUAGUAAUCGCAGAUCAGCGACGCUGCGGUGAAUGCGUCCCCGGGGCUUGUACACACCGCCCGUCAAGUCAUGAAAGUUGGUAACACCCGAAGCCGGUGGCCUAACCGUUGUGGGGGAGCCGUCGAAGGUGGGACUGGUGAUUAGGACUAAGUCGUAACAAGGUAGCCGUACCGGA
rnacentral:rRNA from 1 species